UUAUAUGCCUGCGAAUAUAAAAUGUUAAUUUAUACUGUCAGGGUAAAAUUCAAGAGAACUCUGUUUUAGGACCUUGUGAAUUUCCUUGUGAGUAAAUUAGGAAGGAGGCCCUCUGGGGAGGUAUGUGACCUUCUAUCUUUUCAGCUAUUUAUUUAGGAACAAAAUGGGAGCCAGUUUUACAUGCUUCAUUUCCCAAGAUUAACUUUUUAUUUUGACAUAGUGAGUUUAAUGUCUCAAGAUUUUUACUUUCCUUUCACACUAGCAAACACAAUUCAGGAACACACAAAAAGCUUAAAUGCCAUAAACAAAUGAAUUUUAUUCCAGGAAUGCAAAAUUAUGGCAAUAUCUAAAAAAGUCAACUAAUAUAUCAUAUCAUUAGAACAAAGGAAAAAACUGUAUAAUCACUUCAAUAACUGCAGAAAAACAUAUUUAAUGAAAUUCAAUACUCUUCAUCACAAGAACACUUAAACUAGAAGUAAAGGAGAACACCCUAAAGCUGAUAAAUAGUAUCUAUAAAAAAAUACAAGGCUAACAUCACACUAAAUUGACUCUUCUCACUUCCACUCAAUAUUGCAGUAGAACUUUCAGCCAACAAAUAGGAAAAAAAAAAAUGAAAUAAAAGGAAUCCACAUUAGAAAGAAAGAAGUUAAACUAUCUCUAUUGGCAUAUAUCAUGAUCUUAUAAUAGAAAAUUUUUACAACUCCACUAAAAAAUAUUCAAGUAAACCAGUAAAACGAGUUUUGGAGAUACGAGGUCAAUAAACAAACAAAGAAAAAAUUCUACACAAUUGCAACGGAAAUUUAAACUAAAAUAAAGAUAAAACAAUCACCCUUAUAAUACUGUGAAAAAAUAUAAUUCUUAGCAAUAAGUUUAACAAAAAAUUGUACAAUUCUCACUGUGAAAUUAUUACCAGUGGUGGUUACCCAAGUUACUGACAGCAAAUCUUUAUGGUUCUGCAGCAAUCUGAAUUAUUGCCUCCUCAGAAGAAUGAAUUUGACUGAGGGGCAUAAGACAGAAAAGGAGACCAGCACAAGUUUCAGAACAGAAGCGAAGAUUCAUUAAAAAGGUUACAGCAGGAAAGAAAGGAAAGUACACUUGGGACAGAUCCAAGUGGCCAUUUUGAAGAUAUAAGUAUGAGAAAUGACAGAAAGAAACAGCAAUUUGAAAAGAAGCAUUUCAUUGCACCAGGAGGACUAUGAAAUCAAUGUCAGAUAUUCUGCUGAUACAACUCAGUUGUUACUUUAGCUCUGGGAGUUGUGGAAAGGUGCUGGUGUGGCCCACAGAAUACAGCCAUUGGAUGAAUAUAAAGACAAUCCUAGAUGAACUUGUUUGGAGAGGCCAUAAGAUGACUGUAUUGACACCUUUGGCUUCCAUUAUUAUUGACCACAGUAAAUCAUCUGCUCUUAAAUUUUGAAGUUUAUGCAACAUCUCUAACUAAAAAUAAUUGUGAGGGUCUUUUUGUGAAACUGAUCAAUAGAUGGAUAUAUUAUCUUCCAAAAGAUGCAUUUUGGUCAUAUUUUUCACAAGCACAAGAACUCUUUUGGGAAUCAACAGACUGUGUUAAUAACCUCUGUAAAGAUAUAGUUUUGAACAAGAAAAUUAUGGCAAAACUACAAGGAUCUAAGUUUGAUGUCGUUCUUGCAGAUGCCCUUGGUCCCUGUGGUGAACUGCUAGCUGAGCAUGUUAAAGGCAUGUUAAAUACGUGCCCUUUGUUGACAGUCUCCUGGCAACAUACUUGAGAAGUAUAGUUGAGGACUUCUAUUCCCCACUUCCCACAUACUUGUUGUUCUGUCAGAAUUAAGUGAUCAAAUGACAUUCAUGGAGAGGAUUAUAAAUCUAAUACAUGUGCUUUA